AUUGAACGCUGGCGGCAGGCCUAACACAUGCAAGUCGAGCGGAGCGGCGGACGGGUGAGUAAUGCCUAGGAAUCUGCCUGGUCGUGGGGGAUCACGUCCGGAAACGGGCGCUAAUACCGCAUACUAUCUGAUGAGCAUAGGUCGGAUUAGGUAGUUGGGGGGGUAAAGGCCGACCACGGCGAAGAUCCGUAACUGGUCUGAGAGGAGGAGCAGUCAAACUGGAACUGAGACACGGUCCAGACUCCUACGGGAGGCAGCAGUGGGGAAUAUUGGACAAUGGGCGGAAGCCUGAUCCAGCCAUGCCGCGGGUGUGAAGAAGGUCUUCGGAUUUGAAAGCACUUUAAGUUGGGAGGCGUUACCAACAGAAUAAGCACCGGCUAACUUCGUGCCAGCAGCCGCGGUAAUAC
rnacentral:rRNA from 1 species